rnacentral:rRNA from 1 species
UACGGAGGAUCCAAGCGUUAUCCGGAAUCAUUGGGUUUAAAGGGUCCGUAGGCGGUUUUGUAAGUCAGUGGUGAAAGCCCAUCGCUCAACGGUGGAACGGCCAUUGAUACUGCAAGACUUGAAUUAUUGGGAAGUAACUAGAAUAUGUAGUGUAGCGGUGAAAUGCUUAGAGAUUACAUGGAAUACCAAUUGCGAAGGCAGGUUACUACCAAUAUAUUGACGCUGAUGGACGAAAGCGUGGGGAGCGAACGAGGAUU